rnacentral:lncRNA from 1 species
GUCUCCAUGCUACCUCAUGGGUCCCAUGUGCAAAUUCAGAGGGAGUUAGAAUGAAACCUGCAGUGGAAAUUCAGGCUCUGACGUCAGCAACCUCGUUUUGCAAAAGCUCCAGUUGGCCACCUUGGUUCCAACUGAUUUCAGCCGGCUUUUCUUGAUCUCACAAGCAGAGGGAGUUUCAGUGUUUCAGCGAGUUGGUUUUUUUCUUAUCUGCUACUCUGCAAACACAAGAAUUUCUGUUAGCUACUAGUUUCUUACUCUUUGGAGUGCCGUUUCAGUUUCAGCUUUUCACCAAGUUGUUUCUUAUCCGCUACCCUGUAAGCCCAAGAAUUUAGUCAUUGGUUUCUUUAACGGUUGGAGGAGGCAGGGUGUCAGCACCCAUCUGCCCCCAGUAGUGGGGACAAUUGACCUUAGUCUUAUGUGAAGUGCCAGUAAGAUGCAGCUUAGCCCCCUCACUCCAUAGACAAUGCACUGGACUGUCUCUGCCACAGCCCAGGACUGCGUCUUGGCAUCCCUGACCAUUUCAACCCCCAUUUUAGUGUUCUUUCCUCCUCACUGCCAGAAAGCCAUUUUAGGCAGCUUGUGGGUGUUUUUUAGAAGCGAUGUGUGUGUGAGAUGAAGGAGGCUUCCCUUUGUUUUGGCUUUAAACCUGUCUGUGUAAGUGAGAGUGAGUGGAAAGCUAUGGCUCCUCUCUCCAACACUCCCAAGGCAGGCAGCCCUGACCUCCUCAAUUGCAGAUCAGAAGGGGGCCUUUGGAAAUUAUCCAGACCAGUGAAUCUCACCAUUUUUCUCCCCUGCCACAUCAUACAUGAUGGAUGAAGUCCACAUGCUUAACAGGAUUCCAUGCAUGCACUUAUUUUGAUGGAACAGCCAAAAACAUUCUGUGAGGAAGUAAUUGUCCUCAGGAAAGGGAAUAAUGGUUGCCUCGGCAUGGGGUGGAGGCCCCUGAGUGUACUCUGCCAUGAGACCCCUUCCUUCCCACUCAGGAUGUAUUUCGAAUGCAGGAGCACCCAGGGAGCAAGAGAAGCCCUGAGACAGCAGCAAGGGACACUGUGGGGCUGCAGGAACUCUCAUCCUGGACGUUUGGCCACCUGUGAAGAAAAGAGGCGUUUGAUUUUCUGCAGAGGUCAACUCUUGUAAAAGCCUCUGUUCCUCAUCCUUCAACAGAGCAGCCACAUGUAUCAUUCCAGGCCCCAUUUAAACUCAGAAAACCUAAGUGGGCACAGGAACAAGCUCAGGCUUUAAACUGCUUGUUGCUGGUGUAAUGUGUCACUAGUGCAUCUUUGGUGUAGAUUCUAAAACAAAACUUGGGGAGCAACCCUGGUGACAGUGGUCACAGGCAGAGUCUGCUGUAUCUGUCCCCCAAACUUAUGCCUUCCUCCACACUGAGCA